CUACGGGAGGCAGCAGUGGGGAAUAUUGGACAAUGGGCGCAAGCCUGAUCCAGCCAUGCCGCGUGAGUGAUGAAGGCCUUCGGGUUGUAAAGCUCUUUUGGCGGGGACGAUGAUGACGGUACCCGCAGAAUAAGCCCCGGCAAACUUCGUGCCAGCAGCCGCGGUAAGACGAAGGGGGCAAGCGUUGUUCGGAAUUACUGGGCGUAAAGGGCGCGUAGGCGGCCAUGUAAGUCAGGUGUGAAAGCCCUGGGCUCAACCUGGGAGUGGCACUUGAUACUGCGAGGCUAGAGAGCGGGAGAGGAUGGUGGAAUUCCCAGUGUAGAGGUGAAAUUCGUAGAUAUUGGGAAGAACACCGGUGGCGAAGGCGGCCAUCUGGACCGUAUCUGACGCUGAGGCGCGAAAGCGUGGGGAGCAAACAGGAUUAGAUACCCGUGUAGUCC
rnacentral:rRNA from 1 species